rnacentral:rRNA from 1 species
UAACAAGGAUUCCCCUAGUAACUGCGAGUGAAGCGGGAAGAGCUCAAAUUUAAAAUCUGGCAGUCUCCUGGCUGUCCGAGUUGUAAUCUGGAGAAGCGUUUUCUGUGUUAGACCGUGUACAAGUCUCCUGGAACGGAGCGUCAUAGAGGGUGAGAAUCCCGUCCAUGACACGGACUACUAAUACUUUGUGAUACGCUCUCGAAGAGUCGAGUUGUUUGGGAAUGCAGCUCAAAAUGGGUGGUAAAUUCCAUCUAAAGCUAAAUACAGGCGAGAGACCGAUAGCGAACAAGUACCGUGAGGGAAAGAUGAAAAGCACUUUGGAAAGAGAGUUAAACAGUACGUGAAAUUGUUGAAAGGGAAACGCUUGAAGUCAGUCGCGUUGUGCAGAACUCAGCCUUGCCUCGGCUUGGUGUACUUUCUGCACAACGGGUCAACAUCAAUUUUGGCCCAUGGAGAAAGGUGGGGGGAAUGUAGCGCUGUUUCGGCAGCGUGUUAUAGCCCUCCACUGUAUACAUGGGCUGGGAUUGAGGAACGCAGCACGCCCUUGUGGCCGGGGGUUCGCCCCACGUACCGUGCUUAGGAUGUUGGCAGAAUGGCUUUAAGCGACCCGUCUUGAAACACGGACCAAGGAGUCUAACAUGCUUGCGAGUGUUCGGGUGGAAAACCCUUGUGCGGAAUGAAAGUGAAAGUUGGGAACCUCCGCAAGGGGGUGCACCGACGCCCGGCCCUGACGUUCUCUGACGGUGCUGCGGUAGAGCAAGUAUGCUAGGACCCGAAAGAUGGUGAACUAUGCCU